rnacentral:rRNA from 1 species
AGCGAACGCUGGCGGCAGGCUUAACACAUGCAAGUCGAGCGGGCAUCUUCGGAUGUCAGCGGCAGACGGGUGAGUAACACGUGGGAACGUACCCUUCGGUUCGGAACAACUCUGGGAAACUGGAGCUAAUACCGGAUACGCCCUUAUGGGGAAAGGUUUACUGCCGAAGGAUCGGCCCGCGUCUGAUUAGCUAGUUGGUGGGGUAACGGCCUACCAAGGCGACAAUCAGUAGCUGGUCUGAGAGGAUGAUCAGCCACACUGGGACUGAGACACGGCCCAGACUCCUACGGGAGGCAGCAGUGGGGAAUAUUGGACAAUGGGCGCAAGCCUGAUCCAGCCAUGCCGCGUGAGUGAUGAAGGCCUUAGGGUUGUAAAGCUCUUUUGUCCGGGACGAUAAUGACGGUACCGGAAGAAUAAGCCCCGGCUAACUUCGUG